rnacentral:rRNA from 1 species
AUGAAACUCAUUGCUUGGAACUGCCGGGGAUUGGGUAACGGCCCGGCAGUCCGAGGGCUUCUGGAGAUCCAGAAGCGGGAGGACCCAGAUAUUCUUUUCUUGUCCGAAACCAAACUGGAUGAGAGGAGAAUAAAGCAUUUUAAAUGGGUGUUGGGUAUGAAGGAAAUGGUAAUAAAAGACUGUAAAGGAAAAAGUGGAGGGCUAGCAAUGUUUUGGAAGGAUACAGUGAAGGCUGAGCUUCACAAUUUCUCCAAGUACCACAUAGACAUUGAGAUAAUUGAAUACGAUAAUUUUAGAUGGAGGUUUACAGGUAUAUAUGGCGAACCAGCAAGUGACAAAAAGGAAAGGACCUUCAAUUUGCUUCGGGAUCUGAGUGCCCAGCUUGAAAGACCUUGGAUUUGUGUUGGAGAUUUUAAUGAAAUAUUGUAUGGCCAUGAGAAAGAAGGUGGCCCCCCAAGAAUUCAAGCCCACAUGGACAAAUUCAAAGAAACUCUUGAAGAAUGUGGUUUGCAGGACCUGGGCUAUGAGGGGGAUAUAUUCACAUGGAGAAAUCAUAGCCAUUCGGCAGAAAAAUACAUUAAGGAGAGGCUGGAUAGAGCUGUGGCAAAUAUGGAGUGGUGUGACCGUUUUCCUGGUUUCAAGGUAAUAAAUGGGGAUCCCCGACAUUCCGACCAUCGACCAAUCAUAGUGGAAACUGAAGGAAUGUAUUUUAAAAGCAGAAGAGGCACUCCACAUUUCAGAUUUGAAGCAAAUUGGGUGGAAGAAGAGAACUGUGAAACCAUCAUAGAGAAUGCCUGGAAGUUGACAAUGGCACAAGGAACUAAUAACAUUAUUCAAGGCCUUCAAAAGGUGGCUAGUGAGCUUCAAAACUGGAGUACAAAUAUCUUGGGCGAUCUUGAAAAGAGGUUGAAGAUUUUAAAGAGGGAGUUGGAGGAAGUCAGAAGAAGUGCAAUAUCCCCUCUACAAGUCUCUCGUGAAUUGUUCCUACGUGAGAAGCUCGAGCGCCUGGAACAUCAACGAGACCUUUAUUGGAAGCAACGCUCACAUGUCAAUUGGCUUAAAUCAGCCCAGGCAGAAGGAAGUAGCCAAGAAGCUUUAAGUUGCAUAGGAAGAAGAGUGGACCAAAGCAUGAACAAUAUUCUGUGCACUGAAUUUUCUGAAGAUGAGGUGAGAGCAGCCCUUGAUGCAAUAGGGGACUUGAAAGCACCAGGCCCUGAUGGUAUGCCGGCCCUAUUUUACAAGCGCUACUGGCACAUAGUAGGGGAGAAGAUCACUCAAGAAGCUUUGCGGAUACUGAGGGGAGGAGAGAUGCCGAUGGGGUGGAAUGACACAAUGGUGGUGCUUAUUCCAAAAGUAAGCAGACCUAAGAGUUUGAAGGACCUCCGACCCAUAAGCCUCUGCAACGUAGUCUAUAAGAUAGUUUCUAAAGUGCUGACCAAUAGACUAAAGAAUAAAAGAAGAGGGAAAGCCAGCUUUGCAGCACUCAAACUCGACAUGAGCAAGGCGUACGAUCGAAUUGAAUGGACUUUCUUGAGGGACAUGAUGAUAAAGAUGGGGUUUAACUCUUCCUGGGUCAAGCUCAUUAUGAACUGCGUCACCACGGUUCGUUAUCAAAUAAAGAAAGCGGAGGAACGUGGAAAAAUAAUAGGCAUCAAAGUAUGCAAAAGAGCUCCAAGCAUUAAUCAUCUCCUCUUUGCAGAUGAUUCUUUACUGCUCUUCAAAGCUGAAAAUAGGACUGCAAUAGAGAUAAAUCAUAUCCUGGAGACAUAUGCUGGUUGCUCAGGUCAAGUAAUCAAUAAGGAGAAAUCUGCCAUAAUGUUUAGCAAGAAUACCCAGCAUCAGCAGAAGAAUAUGAUCAUGUCAACAUUGCAUAUUACAAGGGAGGCAAGAACAGAGAAGUAUUUAGGGCUGCCAGUGUACAUAGGAAGAUCAAAAGAAAAGGCAUUUGCCUACCUCAAAGACAAAAUUUGGAGGAAAGUUCAAGGAUGGAAAGAAAAAAUGCUCUCAACGGCGGGUAAAGAGAUUCUAAUAAAGGCCGUAGCCCAAGCAGUCCCGGUCUUUGCAAUGGCAUGUUUUGAUCUGACCAAGACUUUAUGUAACCAGAUUAGUGAGAUGAUCUGCAGAUACUGGUGGAGUAAUAUGGACAAAGAACAUAAAAUCCAUUGGGUUAGUCGGGAACAUAUGCUGCCGCCAAAGAAGGAUGGAGGGCUAGGUUUCAGGGAUCUCCAUGUGUUUAACAGAGCCAUGUUAGCGAGGCAAGCAUGGAGGUUAGCAAAUGCGCCCAACUCUCUUUGCGCUAGAGUUCUAUCUGCGAAAUACUACCCAUCAGGUCAGAUUAUUAGAGCAGUGCCAAAGGAUGGCAUGUCUUAUUCGUGGAGAAGCAUCCUUAAAGGAGUUCAACUGCUAAGAGAAGGUGUAAUCUGGAGAAUAGGCAAUGGUGAGAAGGUGAACAUAUGGAAUGACCCAUGGAUCCCACGAGGUAAGAGUAGAAAACCUGCCACUCCCCAAAGAAGGAAUGUCAUCCUCCACAAAGUCUCAGAACUAAUUAACCCAGUAGAUGGUGAUUGGGAUGAAGACCUAAUAAAACAAACGUUUAAUGAGAAAGAUGCAGAGGAAAUUCUGCAAAUACCAAUCAGCGAAGGAAACGAGGACUAG